CAUGACUUUCCCGACUCGCUCGAUAAUCUCUCCACGUAUCCAAGACCAUUUGUUCAAAGUGUGAACCUGGACGUAGACUAGAGCACCGGCUGAUCUUCAGUUUUUGAACUUGAGUGAGAAGAAGGCUUUAACAAAUCCAAGGUGGUACGGAUUGGAUUACCUAGCAGAGCUUCCGCUGGAGAUUGUCUCUUGGGAACAUUUGGAUUAGGAGUUGUUCUGUAACAUUGAAGGAAGACUGGUAGAAAAUCCGACGAUGUCUUUCCUCCUGCUUGGAGCUUGGCGAGUCCACGCUUGAAUGUAUCAACAAAGCGUUCUGCCUGACCAUUCGAACUGGGAUGGAAAGGAGGACUACGCAAAUGCUGAAUUCCAUUGGAAUACCAAAACGAGCAAAAAUAUCUUGAAGGAUAUUUAUUGUACGUUGAGCUGUGAUUGAUUGAGUAGGGAAAACCUCCGGCCAUUUUGAAUACGCAUCAACAAGAACAAAGAAAUAUUCUCCGUUUAAAGGACCUGCAUAAUCAACGUGCACUCUCUGCCAAGGUUUUGUUGGUUGAGCCCAGCUUGAAAGCGGAACCCUGACAGGAGCUUUUGAAGAGAGAGCACAGUUUCUGCAUCCCUUGACAAAUUGCUCAACUUCAGCAUCGAUCUUGGGCCAAUAAACAGUGAAAACACGGUGGAACAACGAUCCUAUCGUUAAAAACAAGACACUCGUGCACCACUGACAAUGAAUGACGUCUCCGGUAAUAUGGUAGCAAGGACUCCUUAACAGCUUGAGGCCAUGACCGACUCUUGGAAAGAAGAAGAUAAAUCAUCCUCCAGUUGUACCGAAGCGAUAACAAAAUCCUCUUCAGGCCGAACUUGCUGAUCAAUAAGUCUUGAGAGUACAUCAGCAUGACCAAAUUCACUAGUUUUGAUGUACUCAAUCCUGAAAUCGUAGGACAUAAGAUGCAACGCCCAACGCUGCAAACGAUUUGCUGAGUGCACCGAUAUGCCCUUCUUGCUUCCGAAGAUUUGCAAAAGAGGCUUAUGCAGAAGUAAGACUCCUGGCAGCAUGACAAACUGCCUUGACUGAAAAAUCCGAAAAACGGUGAAGGAUGCAAGCUCCCACUCCUUCGUUAGAGGCAUCUGCUGCCACAAUAAUCUCAUGCUUAGGAUUAUAAUGUGUGAGCAAAAGUUUAGAUGUUAAAAUCUUUUUGAACUGCUCAAAAGACUUCUGACACCGAAGAGACCACUCCCACGAACUGUCUCUCCACCUACCACCAGGUCGUCAAUGUAGGCAAAAGUAUUUGACAAACCAGAAAUUAGCGAGUCCAUGAUUGCUUGGAACUCGCCAGGAGCCACUCUAACUCCGAAAGGCAUUCGAUUAUAAACGUAAAGUCCACGAUGCGUA